rnacentral:rRNA from 1 species
CACGUAGGGGGCGAGCGUUGUCCGGAUUUAUUGGGCGUAAAGCGCGUGUAGGCGGCUUGGCAAGUCCGCUGUGAAAACUCGAGGCUCAACCUCGAGAUGUCGGUGGAAACUGCUUGGCUAGAGUCCGGAAGAGGAGUGUGGAAUUCCUGGUGUAGCGGUGAAAUGCGCAGAUAUCAGGAAGAACACCAACGGCGAAGGCAGCUCGCUGGGACGGUACUGACGCUGAGGCGCGAAGCGUGGGGAGCAACAGG